GGGCUAAGAGGCGCCUUUGCUGACAGCGUGAUAAGACGUGCCUCUGCUGACAGCACGUCCACGCAGCAAUGAGCCUGCACACAAUCAAGAAUCAACACGCCCGGAAUUGAUGAAAGGAAGCGGCAUACAAACCAGCAGACCCGAGGAACAUUUGACAGAACGUCGCUAACUCUUCAUGACUCCUGUGCCUUCCGGGAUCGAGCUUUGUCAUUUGACACCCAUCCGUAUUACUGACUGCUCUCCUCGAUCCACGACCUCCCUGCUCGGACCCAGGCCACGCUGCCUCGCUCCUGCCCACGACCCCUUGCCUGUUCACGAACUGCCUCUUCGCUUUGCCCCUCUUGAUUCGACGAAAGAUUACAACCAACACUCACAGACAACAGCCCUUGGUAACAUUUACAUUAUUAAUACUACACAUAGUCACACUCAUUCACUUGGAGUAGCAUACACACGCCACAUAUUCAUCAAAGGUUUAAAAUAAACCUUGAAAAUCGCA